rnacentral:rRNA from 1 species
CAUGCUUUACACAUGCAAGUCGAACGGCAGCACGAAAGAGCUUGUCUUUUGGUGGCGAGUGGCGAACGGAGAGUAAUGCAUCGGAACGUACCGAGUAAUGGGGGAUAACUUCCGAAAGGAUAGCUAAUACCGCAUACGCUUUGAGAAGGAAAGUGGGGGCUUUCGGACCUCACGUUAUUCGAGCGGCCGAUGUCUGAUUAGCUAGUUGGUGGGGUAAAGGCCUACCAAGGCGACGAUCAGUAGCGGGUCUGAGAGGAUGAUCCGCCACACUGGGAUUGAGACACGGCCCAGACUCCUACGGGAGGCAGCAGUGGGGAAUUUUGGACAAUGGGCGCAAGCCUGAUCCAGCCAUGCCGCGUGUUGAAGAAGGCCUUCGGGUUGUAAAGGACUUUUGUUAGGGAAGAAAAGGAUAGUGUAAUACC